ACGCAGGGGAGAGCUGAGGAGGGGUGUGGGAGUAGUGAGUAGCUCUAAGCACACAGAUAUUAUACUUGAGCGAGGUCACCUUGGUUCAAGCCCCAGCUUGACCAGUUACCAGAUAUUGUAUAACCUUGGGAAAUUAUUGAACUUCUUUGUUCCUUCACUUACCUGUUUAUAAAAUGGGGAUGAUGACAGUAACUUACACCAAGGGCCACUGAAAUGGUUAAAUGAGUUUAGUGUAAAUCACUUAGAAAAGUGCCUGACGCUUGGGCAGUCCCCUAUGGCCCAGCCCCGACCUGAUCUUGCUCUGACCCUUUGUGAGUAGAUGACAGGACAGUCAGUCACCUGUGACCCUCUCCUCUCAUAAGGGGCAGGAAAGGAAGGACCUUGGCCUUCAGGCUGGCAGUGAGGCCAGGGCAGGCUGCCAGCUGCAUAGCUCCACCUGGUUAGGGCAAUAAGUUUGUGUAAGAUUUGAGCCCUUCUCUCCCUGUAACUUCUCAGCCCAAGUUCCUCUGCUUAGGAAGGGACCUUGGCCAAGUUCUCAGUUUUGCUCCACAACCUUUGUCCUCAUUGUUCUUCUCAGUGUGCACCAUGUCUGGUGCCUGCCAUGUUAGUCAGGACCCUCAGUGACUCUCUGGGACUUUGGCUUUUCCUCUCAGUGCCCCGGUGAGGGUGUACCUGGCUGCCUGUAUCUACACACCCGAUGUCCUUCAUGUGAGGUGCUGCUCCCAACUGUCAGCAGCACACCUCCUCACAGGGCCGAGAAAAGUGGGAGAGAACAUGGAGAUCCUUUUCAGUGUGACUGUCCUAAGGAACAAGCUGCCCAGAGUUUCAGACCCAGUACCUAGAACAGGACUUUAAACCUGGUAAUACCUAAAAAACACUUGCAAAGUAAAUUAAUACCUUUCA